CUACGGGAGGCAGCAGUGGGGAAUAUUGCACAAUGGGGGAAACCCUGAUGCAGCGACGCAGCGUGCGGGAUGACGGCCUUCGGGUUGUAAACCGCUUUCAGC
rnacentral:rRNA from 1 species